rnacentral:rRNA from 1 species
CGUAGGCGGGUGUUUAAGUCAGAUGUGAAAACUAUGGGCUCAACCGAUAGACUGCAUUUGAAACUGGACAUCUUGAGGGCAGGAGAGGAAAGUGGAAUUCCUAGUGUAGCGGUGAAAUGCGUAGAUAUUAGGAGGAACACCAGUGGCGAAGGCGACUUUCUGGACUGUACCUGACGCUGAGGCGCGAAAGCGUGGGGAGCGAACA